rnacentral:rRNA from 1 species
AGCGAACGCUGGCGGCAGGCCUAACACAUGCAAGUCGAACGAAGUCUUCGGACUUAGUGGCGGACGGGUGAGUAACACGUGGGAACGUACCUUUUGGUUCGGAACAACUCAGGGAAACUUGAGCUAAUACCGAAUGUGCUCUUAGGGGGAAAGAUUUAUCGCCAUUAGAGCGGCCCGCGUUAGAUUAGCUAGUUGGUGGGGUAAAGGCCCACCAAGGCUACGAUCUAUAGCUGGUCUGAGAGGAUGAUCAGCCACACUGGGACUGAGACACGGCCCAGACUCCUACGGGAGGCAGCAGUGGGGAAUCUUGCGUAAUGGGCGAAAGCCUAACGCAGCCAUGCCGCGUGAAUGAUGAAGGUCUUAGGAUUGUAAAAUUCUUUCAGUAGGGACGAUAAUGACGGUACCUACAGAAGAAGCCCCGGCUAACUUCGUGCCAGCCGCCGCGGUAAGAC